rnacentral:lncRNA from 1 species
AUGCAGAAUAGGGAAGCCGACCUUAGCACAGCAUGGCAGAAAGUCUUCAAGGCCCCAAGACAGGCUUCUACCUUCAAAGCGUUUAACCCAUCCUCGCGGCCAGCGGCCCACUCGCCCACCUCCCCUCCCUUCCUCCGCUCCCUUCGCCCCUUCCCAGCUGGGACCUCAGCCCAAGGGAAGCUCCUCGUCCCAGGGCUGCCCAAGGAGACGCCCAGGUGGCCUGGGCCCGCCCUACGCGGCACCCUCCUCGCCUCUGUCCGGCUUCUCCGGCAAGUUGAGGACGAAAGGGAAGAGCACGCCCCGGGCGUCCCAAGGGGCUCGCAGGGACUCGGGCUCGAAGCUGCCGCCGGCGCCCGCGUCCGCGCCGGGCUCGCCGUCCUGCGGGGGCACGAAGCGCCAGGUGCCGGCGCGGCCCACGCAGUAGAUGGUGCCGUCCAGGGCGGCGCAGCGGAAGGGCUGCAGGCCGGACGGCGCGCCCGGGGGCCGCAGGUGCGAGGCGCAGCGGCUCCACUGCUUGGCCAGGCAGUGGUAGCGGAGCACGCUGACCCCUCCGGGCCCGGCCGCCGCCUGCGCGUCGCCGCGGGCCCCGCAGAGGUCGAAGCGGUAGAUGAAGCCGUCCAGGGCCACCAUGUCGGCCGAGCGCUCGCGGCUGCUGCUGCACGGGCACUCCUGCCACUCGUCGCGCCGCGGGUCGUACUUGAGCAGGCGGUAGAAGAGCGAGCCCCCGGACACGUAGAUCUCGCCGUUGCAGGUGGUGGCCUCGUGCGCCACGGCGAAGGCGCCCCGGGGCAGCGGGGCCACGGCGGCCCAGCGGUCGGCGCGCGGGUCAUAGCGCUCCACGCUGAGCAGGCACUCGCCGCCCACGGCGUACAGGUGGCCGUCCAGGGCCAGCAGCUGCAGCUGCGAGCGCGCCUGGCGCAGCGGCCGCACGGUGCUCCAGCGGUCGGUGGCCGGGUUGUAGCAGAAGACCUGGUCGGAUGGGCGCGCGCGGCCGUCGGGCCCCGGGGGCCCCACGCCUCCGGCCACGAAGAGGUAGUUGUAGAGGACACACAGGCCGCAGCCCCGUGCCGGUGCGCCCUCGGGCAGCCGCGUCAGCUCGCGCCACUCGCCGGCCGCCUCGUGGAGGCAGUAGACGGCGGCCUCGCCGCGGGCCUCCGCCUCCCCCGACGGGCUCUGCGGCCGGCUGCCCGCGCGCUCCCCGGCCGGCCCCAGGGCGGCGGCCAGCAGGCGGGCGCGGCCGGCGCGCAGGCGGCGGCGCAGCAGCAGGUCGCGCUCGGCGCCCGACAGGCGCCCGAAGACGGCGGGCUCGCGCAGCACCUCCAGGGCCCCCUCCUGAGUGACUGCUGCGGUGGAAACCGAUUUCCCUGGAAAACACGCGUCCCUGACGACUCCAAUCACAAAGAAGUCCGUGCUCCAGCCGUGAGGAGCCAGCAGACGGUGCUGCAAGGGGAGUCCAAACGGAUCAGCUCAAAGCUGGGUCCCCACGGGGGCUCUGCGACGUCCGGAUGUCAGCGCAGAGAGAGGAAGUGA